rnacentral:rRNA from 1 species
AUUCUAGAGCUAAUACAUGCAAACAGAAUCCCGACCAGAGAUGGAAGGGACGCUUUUAUUAGAUCAAAACCAAUCGGGGCUUCGGCUCCGCACUUCUUGGUGACUCUGAAUAACUUUUAGCUGAUCGCACGGUCCUAGUACCGGCGACGCAUCUUUCAAAUGUCUGACUUAUCAACUGUCGAUGGUAGAUUCUGCGCCUACCAUGGUUGUAACGGGUAACGGGGAAUCAGGGUUCGAUUCCGGAGAGGGAGCCUGAGAAACGGCUACCACAUCCAAGGAAGGCAGCAGGCGCGCAAAUUACCCACUCCCGGCACGGGGAGGUAGUGACGAAAAAUAACGAUACGGGACUCAUCCGAGGCCCCGUAAUCGGAAUGAGUACACUUUAAAUCCUUUAACGAGUACCAAUUGGAGGGCAAGUCUGGUGCCAGCAGCCGCGGUAAUUCCAGCUCCAAUAGCGUAUAUUAAAGUUGUUGCGGUUAAAAAGCUCGUCACCGCUCGCGGUGUAACUGGCGCGCCGGUCGGACGUCCUGCCGGUGGCGGUCCGGGCUUUUGUGUAGGCCGGUUGAAGCAGGCCGAGAGUUCCGCCCGCCGAUUCAAUCCCGCCGCGGUGCUCUUGACUGAGUGUCGAGGUGGGCCGGCACGUUUACUUUGAACAAAUUAGAGUGCUUAAAGCAGGCUGAUUUCUGCCUGAAUACUGUGUGCAUGGAAUAAUGGAAUAGGACUUCGGUUCUAUUUUGUUGGUUUUAAGAAUCCGAAGUAAUGAUUAAUAGGGACAGGCGGGGGCAUUCGUAUUGCGACGUUAGAGGUGAAAUUCUUGGAUCGUCGCAAGACGUACCUAAGCGAAAGCAUUUGCCAAGUAUGUCCUCGUUAAUCAAGAACGAAAGUUAGAGGUUCGAAGGCGAUCAGAUACCGCCCUAGUUCUAACCAUAAACGAUGCCAGCCAGCGAUCCGCCAAAGUUCCUCCGAUGACUUGGCGGGCAGCUUCCGGGAAACCAAAGCUUUUGGGUUCCGGGGGAAGUAUGGUUGCAAAGCUGAAACUUAAAGGAAUUGACGGAAGGGCACCACCAGGAGUGGAGCCUGCGGCUUAAUUUGACUCAACACGGGAAACCUCACCAGGCCCGGACACCGGAAGGAUUGACAGAUUGAUAGCUCUUUCUUGAUUCGGUGGGUGGUGGUGCAUGGCCGUUCUUAGUUGGUGGAGCGAUUUGUCUGGUUAAUUCCGAUAACGAACGAGACUCUAGCCUGCUAACUAGGCGCCGGUAUCACAAUUGCUACCGGCGAAUAAAUUUCUUCUUAGAGGGACAGGCGGCUUCUAGCCGCACGAGACUGAGCAAUAACAGGUCUGUGAUGCCCUUAGAUGUCCUGGGCCGCACGCGCGCUACACUGAAGGAAUCAGCGUGUCUUCCCUGGCCGAAAGGUCCGGGUAACCCGUUGAACCUCCUUCGUGCUAGGGAUUGGGGCUUGCAAUUGUUCCCCAUGAACGAGGAAUUCCCAGUAAGCGCGAGUCAUAAGCUCGCGUUGAUUACGUCCCUGCCCUUUGUACACACCGCCCGUCGCUACUACCGAUUGAAUGAUUUAGUGAGGUCUUCGGACUGGUGCGCGGCGAUCGCCUCGUGUGGUCACCGAUGUUGCCGGGAAGAUGACCAAACUUGAUCAUUUAGAGGAAGUAAAAGUCGUAACAA